rnacentral:rRNA from 1 species
UACAGAGGUCUCAAGCGUUGUUCGGAUUCAUUGGGCGUAAAGGGUGCGUAGGCGGCGCGGUAAGUCGGGGGUGAAAUCUUGGAGCUUAACUCCGAAACUGCAUUCGAUACUGCCGUGCUUGAGGACUGGAGAGGAGACUGGAAUUUACGGUGUAGCGGUGAAAUGCGUAGAUAUCGGAAGGAAGACCAGUGGCGAAGGCGGGUCUCUGGACAGUUCCUGACGCUGAGGCACGAAGGCCAGGGGAGCAAAUAGG